ACUACGGGGGGCAGCAGUGGGGGAUAUUGCACAAUGGGGGAAACCCUGAUGCAGCGACGCCGCGUGUGGGAAGACGGUCCUCUGGAUUGUAAACCACUGUCUCCAGGGACGAAGAUGACGGUACCUGGGGAGGAAGCUCCGGCAAACUACGCGCCAGCAGCCGCGGUAAUACGCAGGGAGCGAGCGUUGUCCGGAAUUACUGGGUGUAAAGGGAGCGUAGGCGGGACUGCAAGUUGGGUGUCAAAUCUACCGGCUCAACCGGUAGCCGCACUCAAAACUGCAGUUCUUGAGUGAAGUAGAGGCAGGCGGAAUUCCUAGUGUAGCGGUGAAAUGCGUAGAUAUUAGGAGGAACACCAGUGGCGAAGGCGGCCUGCUGGGCUUUUACUGACGCUGAGGCUCGAAAGUGUGGGGAGCAAACAGGAUUAGAUACCCUUGUAGUA
rnacentral:rRNA from 1 species